GAUGAACGCUGGCGGCGUGCCUAAUACAUGCAAGUCGAGCGAACAGACGAGGAGCUUGCUCCUCUGACGUUAGCGGCGGACGGGUGAGUAACACGUGGAUAACCUACCUAUAAGACUGGGAUAACUUCGGGAAACCGGAGCUAAUACCGGAUAAUAUAUUGAACCGCAUGGUUCAAUAGUGAAAGACGGUUUUGCUGUCACUUAUAGAUGGAUCCGCGCCGCAUUAGCUAGUUGGUAAGGUAACGGCUUACCAAGGCAACGAUGCGUAGCCGACCUGAGAGGGAGAUCGGCAAACUCGGAACUGAGACACGGUCCAGACUCCGAAGGGAGGCAGCAGUAGCGAAUAUUACGCAAUGGGCGAAAGCCUGACGGAGCAACGCCGCGUGAGUGAUGAAGGUCUUCGGAUCGUAAAACUCUGUUAUUAGGGAAGAACAUAUGUGUAAGUAACUAUGCACAUCUUGACGGUACCUAACCAGAAAGACACGGCUAACUACGUG
rnacentral:rRNA from 1 species